rnacentral:tRNA from 1 species
UCCCUGGUGGCUCAGACAGUAAAGAAUCUGCCUGCAAUGCAGGAGACCCAGGUUCAAUCCCUGGCUUGUGAA